GAGGGGAGGCAGGAAAAGUACACACAUGGAAAUACUGAAGUUGGUUCUGUCUCUGUGUAUGAAGAUGCUGUGUAAGUGUUGCAAAGCACCACAGAUGACAAUCCCACCACAGAGCAUCCUUCUGAAUGCUGUGUCCUGAAAGAAGCACUGCAGCUGGCAAACUUCCAGGUCAAGGCUUUGUCUAAAGUUACAGUAAAAUGUUAUCCCCUGAGAGCUGUAAAGAAACACUAUGAUGCUGAUAAUUGGUGGUGGCGUUGCUGGGCUGACUGCAGCAGUAGCUGCCAAAGCAAUGGGAAUUGCUGUCAGAAGAUUUGA
rnacentral:lncRNA from 1 species